GCCUGGGUGGCUCAACUGGUUAAGCAUCUGACUUCAGCUCAGGUCAUGAUCUCACGGUUCGUGGGUUGAAGCCCCGCAUCGGGCU
rfam:Felis catus isolate Cinnamon breed Abyssinian chromosome D3, whole genome shotgun sequence.